GUAACGGCGAGUGAAGCGGCAACAGCUCAAAUUUGAAAUCUGGCUCCUUCGGGGCCCGAGUUGUAAUUUGCAGAGGAUGCGUCGGGUACGGGUGCGUUCCGAGUUUCCUGGAACGGGACGCCAUAGAGGGUGAGAGCCCCGUCUGGUAGGAUACCCAGCCCGUGUGACGCUCCCUCGACGAGUCGAGUAGUUUGGGAAUGCUGCUCUAACGGGAGGUAUACUCCUUCCAAGGCUAAAUACCGGCUGGAGACCGAUAGCGCACAAGUAGAGUGAUCGAAAGAUGAAAAGCACUUUGAAAAGAGAGUCAAACAGCACGUGAAAUUGUUAAAAGGGAAGCGCUCGCUACCAGACUUGGGUUCGGCGGUUCAACCGGGGCCACGCCCCGGGGCAUUCCGCCGGCCCAGGCCAGCAUCAGCUUUCCGUCGGGGGUAAAGGCGUCGGGAAUGUGGCUCCCCUUCGGGGGAGUGUUAUAGCCCGUCGUGUCAUACCCUUCGGGGGGCUGAGGUACGCGCUUCUGCAAGGAUGCUGGCGUAAUGGUAGCUAGUGACCCGUCUUGAAACACGGACCAAGGAGUCAACCUUAUGUGCGAGUGCCCGGGCGUAAAACCCCAGCGCGGAAUGAAAGUGAACGUAGGUGAGAGCUUCGGCGCAUCACCGACCGAUCCUGAUGUCCUCGGACGGAUUUGAGUGAGAGCAUAUAGGGUUGGACCCGAAAGAAGAUGAACUAUGCGUGUGUAGGGUGAAGCCAGAGGAAACUCUGGUGGAGGCUCGCAGCGGUUCUGACGUGCAAAUCG
rnacentral:misc_RNA from 1 species